rnacentral:rRNA from 1 species
CAGUCGCCCGGUAAUGCGUAGGUGGCAAGCGUUGUCCGGAAUUAUUGGGCGUAAAGGGCUCGCAGGCGGUUUCUUAAGUCUGAUGUGAAAGCCCCCGGCUCAACCGGGGAGGGUCAUUGGAAACUGGGAAACUUGAGUGCAGAAGAGGAGAGUGGAAUUCCACGUGUAGCGGUGAAAUGCGUAGAGAUGUGGAGGAACACCAGUGGCGAAGGCGACUCUCUGGUCUGUAACUGACGCUGAGGAGCGAAAGCGUGAGGAGCAAACAGGAUUAGAGACCCCAGUAGUCCCUGUCUCUUAUACA